rnacentral:rRNA from 1 species
AACGAACGCUGGCGGCAUGCCUAACACAUGCAAGUCGAACGAGACCUUCGGGUCUAGUUGCGCACGGGUGCGUAACGCGUGGGAACCUGCCCUUAGGUUCGGAAUAACUCCCCGAAAGGGGUGCUAAUACCGGAUAAUGUCUUCGGACCAAAGAUUUAUCGCCUUUGGAUGGGCCCGCGUUGGAUUAGCUAGUUGGUAGGGUAAAAGCCUACCAAGGCGACGAUCCAUAGCUGGUCUGAGAGGAUGAUCAGCCACACUGGGACUGAGACACGGCCCAGACUCCUACGGGAGGGAGCAGUGGGGAAUAUUGGACAAUGGGCGAAAGCCUGAUCCAGCAAGGCCGCGUGAGUGAUGAAGGCCUUAGGGUUGUAAAGCUCUUUUACCCGGGAUGAUAAUGACAGUACCGGGAGAAUAAGCUCCGGCUAACUCCGUG